rnacentral:rRNA from 1 species
UACAGAGGUCCCAAGCGUUGUUCGGAUUCACUGGGUCGGUAAAGGGUGCGUGAGGUUGGUUGGGUAAGUCUGAUGUGAAUCUCUGAGCUUAACUCAGAAACUGCAUUGGAUACUAUCAGCUGGAGGAGUGGAGGGGGACUGGAAUACUUGGUGUAGCAGUGAAAUGCGUAGAUAUCAAGUGGAACACCAGUGGCGAAGCGAGUCCCUGGACACUUCCUGACACUGAGGCACGAAAGCUAGGGGAGCAAACAGG